GUGCCAGCAGCCGCGGUAAUACCGAGGGUGCAAGCGUUAAUCGGAAUUACUGGGCGUAAAGGGUGCGUAGGUGGGUUAAUAAGUUAGCUGUGAAAGCCCUGGGCUUAACCUGGGAAGGUCAGCUAAGACUGUUAGUCUAGAGUACAGGAGAGGGUAGUGGAAUUUCCGGUGUAGCGGUGAAAUGCGUAGAGAUCGGAAGGAACACCAGUGGCGAAGGCGGCUACCUGGUCUGAUACUGACACUAAGGCACGAAAGCGUGGGGAGCAAACAGGAUUAGAUACCC
rnacentral:rRNA from 1 species